rnacentral:rRNA from 1 species
AAGUGGAUUAGCGGCGGACGGGUGAGUAACACGUGAGUAACCUGCCUUAGACAUUGGGAUAGCCUCGGGAAACCGGGAUUAAUACCAAAUAAAAUCAUAAUGACACAUGUCAUAACGAUCAAAAUCCGGUGGUCUAAGAUGGACUCGCGUCCCAUUAGCUAGUUGGUAGAGUAAAAGCCUACCAAGGCGACGAUGGGUAGCCGGCCUGAGAGGGUGAACGGCCACAUUGGAACUGAGAAACGGUCCAA